rnacentral:rRNA from 1 species
AGUACGUGAAACUGCUUAGAGGUUAAACCCGAUGAACCUGAAUAUCCAUUAUGGAAAAUUCAAUACUAAUAUUAUAAUAUUUCAAAAGAAUAUUUUAUAAGAAUAGUGUGCAAUUUUUCCAUAUAAGGACAUUGUAAUCUGUUAAUGUUAUAAAUAUUUAUCAAAAGAUUCUUUACUUAAGUUUAUUCAAAUUGUUUAUUUUCGGAUAUUCAACAUAAAAUAAAUGUAUUGAAUUGGAUAAAUCAUUGACAGAUAUAAUUAUAUAAUAUGCUUAAAUUCUAAUUAUUGAAUUUUGCAAUAAUAAAUAAAAUAUAUAUUUUGUUUAUUUAUUUGCCUGCAUUUUAUUAUGAUUAACAAUGCGAUAGAUUCAGGAUACCUUCGGGACCCGUCUUGAAACACGGACCAAGGAGUCUAACAUAUGUGCAAGUCAUUGGGUAUUUAUAAUAAAACCCAAUGGCAUAAUUAACUUAACUGUUUUUAAUAAUAUGGGAUUAAUUUAUAAUUUUAUUAUAAAUUAUUUAUACAAUCCCGGGGCGUUCUAUAUAGUUAUGUAUAAUAAUAUUUAUAUUAUUUAUACCUCUAACUAGAGCGUACCUUGAGC